UACGGAGGGUGCGAGCGUUAAUCGGAAUUACUGGGCGUAAAGCGCGCGUAGGUGGCUAUGUCAGUCGGAUGUGAAAGCCCUGGGCUUAACCUGGGAAUUGCAUUCGAUACUGCAUGGCUAGAGUAUAGUAGAGGGUAGUGGAAUUCCAGGUGUAGCGGUGAAAUGCGUAGAUAUCUGGAGGAACAUCAGUGGCGAAGGCGGCUACCUGGACUAAUACUGACACUGAGGUGCGAAAGCGUGGGGAGCAAAC
rnacentral:rRNA from 1 species